rnacentral:misc_RNA from 1 species
CCGAGUUUACAACUCCCAAACCCAUGUGAACAUACCUUUACGUUGCUUCGGCGGAGCCGCCCCGGCGCCCGGAACCUCUUCGGUUUCGCGGCCCGGAACCAGGCGCCCGCCGGAGGCCACAAACUCUUUUGUUUUUACAGUUUCUUCUGAGUGUGCCGCAAGGCAAAAUACAAAUGAAUCAAAACUUUCAACAACGGAUCUCUUGGUUCUGGCAUCGAUGAAGAACGCAGCGAAAUGCGAUAAGUAAUGUGAAUUGCAGAAUUCAGUGAAUCAUCGAAUCUUUGAACGCACAUUGCGCCCGCCAGAAUUCUGGCGGGCAUGCCUGUUCGAGCGUCAUUUCAACCCUCGAGCUCCCCUCUUUUUGGGAGAGCCCGGCGUUGGGGGACCCGGCGCUAACACCGCCGGCCCCGAAAUGGAGUGGCGGCCCGUCCGCGGCGACCUCUGCGUAGUAAUAUCCACUCGCACCGGGACCCGGGCGCGGCCACGCCGUUA